AUGCCCAGGCAAAAGGCUCUAAGGAAGCAAGUCGAGUCCUAUAAGCUCAAACACAUCAACAAAACCAUCGAAGAGGGAGAUUGCGUGCUGAUGCGGCCGUCGGAGCCGGGGAAGCCGUCGUACGUAGCGAGGAUCGAGGCGAUCGAGACGGACGCGCGUGGGGCGAACGCUAAGGUGCGCGUGAGAUGGUAUUACCGUCCCGAGGAAUCUAUCGGAGGGAGGAGGCAAUUCCAUGGAUCCAAGGAGGUGUUUCUCUCCGACCACUACGACGUCCAGAGCGCCGACACGAUCGAGGGGAAGUGUACGGUCCACAGUUUCAAGAGUUACACGAAGCUUGACGCUGUCGGGAACGAGGACUUCUUCUGUCGUUUCGAGUACAACUCCUCCACCGGCGCCUUUAACCCCGACCGAGUUGCUGUGUUCUGCAAGUGUGAAAUGCCGUACAACCCUGAUGACUUGAUGGUGCAAUGCGAGAGUUGCUCUGAGUGGUUUCAUCCUUCUUGUAUAGAAAUGACGGUGGAGAAAGCUAAAAAGCUGGAUCACUUCUUCUGUGAAGAUUGUUCCUCGCAGCAGCAGAAGUUGCAGAACUCGCAUUCCGCUACUAAAAGCUCAGACACUAAGUGAUGUCCUGCCGCAUAUUCGUGCACUCCAUGACUCUCCUUUUGAGUUGUACUUGGUGGUAUAUUCACAUUCCUAAGAAAGACCAACUUUGUUAACCGCUGUUCUAUUUAGAAGAAGAAAGAGAGCAGGUGGAUACAAAAAGGCGCCGGAGGUAGCCAGCCCAACCCAAACCAAGUGACGAGAGGAGGACACUGGAGAGAAUCGGGGCAAAGGAGACAAGCAGUCGAAGCUUUUAUUAGGUAUGGGCGUGUUUUAUAUAUGUAUUAACAGACUGUGUUCUUAGGGGUGUGGAGGGAGGGAUCUCAGGGUAAAGAUUGAGUUUGGUGGUGGUCAUAUGUCGUGUCCCUCUGGUCGUUUUGUAAUAUCCCAUCCUCUUUUUUUUUAGGACAAAUGGGGUUUAAGAGAGAGCUCGGUUGUUUCUUGAGUGCAGGUGCUGUUAAUGAUUUUAUCCAUAGCGUGGAUUUAGGUAAUGUAUGUGGAUCCAAUAAUAGAAGCAGUUCCAAUUAUCCAA